GAAGCUUCGUGCGGAUCAGAUCUGCUGUGGCCGUGUCCUCGUGCGGCCUCGUGGCUGCUCUCCGUCCGGCACUGUCUGGCGGGAGGGAGCACGAGGUCACCAGGCGCGCCCUCCAUUAUGCAGCCGGGGCGGGGGGGCGGUGGCGGAUCCGGCCGGGGAGGGGGUGUGUGCGGAAGAGACCCCCGCGGGAGAUGGGAAAGGAGAGCGCCAGGAUACCCCUAGCCCUCGGGUGGGGAGGAGGUGCAGGGAGAGACUCCUUCCCGAGAUGGAAGGAAGGCCACAGGUGCGGGAAGCGGGGCACAGAGAGAGACCCGGGCCCGAGGUGAGGGGAAGUACAGGCAGAGGCCCCGGCCGAGAUGGAAGGAAGGCCACAGGUGCGGGAAGCGGGGCACAGAGAGAGACCCGGGCCCGAGGUGAGGGGAAGUACAGGCAGAGGCCCCGGCCGAGAUGGAAGGAAGGCCACAGGUGCGGGAAGGGGGGCACAGAGAGAGACCCGGGCCUGAGGUGAGGGGAAGUACAGGCAGAGGCCGGGCCCGAGGUGAGGGGAAGUACAGGGAGAGGCCCCUCCCGAGAUGGAAGGAAGGCCACAGGUGCGGGAAGCGGGGCACAGAGAGAGACCCGGGCCCGAGGUGAGGAGAAGUACAGGCAGAGGCCGGGCCCGAGAUGGAAGGAAGGCCACAGGUGCGGGAAGCGGGGCACAGAGAGAGACCCGGGCCCGAGGUGAGGAGAAGUACAGGGAGAGGCCCCUCCCGAGAUGGAAGGAAGGCCACAGGUGCGGGAAGCGGGGCACAGAGAGAGACCCGGGCCCGAGGUGAGGGAAAGUACAGGGAGAGGCCCCUCCUGAGAUGGAAGGAAGGCCACAGGUGCGGGAAGCGGGGCACAGAGAGAGACCCGGGCCCGAGGUGAGGGGAAGUACAGGCAGAGGCCGGGCCCGAGAUGGAAGGAAGGCCACAGGUGCGGGAAGCGGGGCACAGAGAGAGACCCGGCCUGAGGUGAGGGGAAGUACAGGCAGAGGCCCGAGAGGGGAGGGGAUAUAGAGAGAGACACCCGCCCGAGAUGG